GGCGAUUGAAGUGAGUUAUGUGCCCUGGAAGCAGAAGCUGUUUGUGCAGAUCAGCCAACUUGACGGAAUAAACUGUACUUCCUCAAAAUGAACCAGCUGUUGAGCCUUAUACCAUUGGAAAGAUAUGGAUGUUAGCUUUCAGAGGAAUUUUACGGACUGUGAUUUCGAGUUUCCUAGACGAUGUUAUGAAAGUUUUUGUACAAGACGUCGGUCAGCCAAGUCUACGCGGAAAUUGCAAAAUCUGUUGGGUUUUUUCAAGUCAUAAUUCAGUCGAAGCCCAAAGCCCAAGAUAGAAAACGUUGG
rnacentral:lncRNA from 1 species